rnacentral:misc_RNA from 1 species
AACAAAAUAAGAGAUUUUUUUUUCGCCUUCCCCUGUCUUUUUCCUCUCCCUUUUACUCAAUACAAAAUACACCUUAGUUAAAGAUUAAUAAAUAUUAAUUUUUUAGAUAAUGUUUUUCUCAAUAUAAGCUCAAACAAUAAUGUCAAAUAAACUCCUAUAAUAAUCAUUAAGUGAAUAAAUUAAAUAUGAAAAAUAACAAAACAUAAAAAUUGUAUAAUAAAAACUUGAUGCACUGUAAAUAGUUCUUCAUAAUGAAUCAAUAUACUCAAUAAAGUUAAAAAAAAAAAAGUCUGAUGAUAGAAUAGGGGCUACCUUAAAUCACAGUUUGAAGUGUAAUUCCUAUCCUUAUAGUUACAAUAUUUUAUAAAAUUACAAUAAAAUAAAAUUAAGAAUUAAUUUGUGCGAAAAAGUGCAUAGAAGAAAAAUAGAAAAAAAAUUUAGUAUUACUUUUCAACCCAUUCCGUUCAAUUUUAAAAUGGAAUAAAAUGCUAUUUAAGUAUUUUCCACACAAAUCUUGGCAAGAUUUUCCUUUUUCCUUUCCCUUUUUACAAAAGCAAGAGAAUUGAAUUUUUAUUUUUUCUUUCUUUCAUUUUUCUUUUAACAAAGUAAAGAAAUUGACCUUUUUUUUCUUCUCCUAUCAUUUUUUUCUCUCUUUCUUUUCCUAACUGCAGAACAUUUUAAUUAUAA